CUACGUAGAGACUUGAAUGUGAUAGGAUUUGGGUUGAUCGGAUGGCUCGCACCAUCAAGCAUACCAGCAAUCAACGGUGACAGUUUGACAGGACUCUUCUUUGGAAGCAUUGGAACUGAGCUCGCUCACUUCCCCACUCCUCCGGCUCUCACUUCACCAUUUUGGUUAGUUUAAAACAAAAACUAUUUAAAAUAUGUGUCUAUGUCUUGGAUAAAACUUAUAUUAUAUAACCAUUUGGUGUUAAAUACUACUUACAAGCUUUUAAUGGUUAAGAUAUAUAAAGUAGGAUUUUGAUUCUUUCUUAUAAAAAAUGACAAUUAAUAUUAUAAAUAUUGAUUAAAAAGGCUAUUAUUAUAAUUAUAAUUAUAAUAGUAUAUUUGUGGAUUUGGGAUGUUGUAGUCAUUAAAAGAUAUAUUUGAUCAGUGAUUUCACGGCCAUUAUAUAAUAAUAAUAACUCAAAUAACCCACUUAUUCAUAAAAUGGAUCAUAAUGGUCAUCUUUUAGCUUGUGUUUAUGUAAUUCUAAAAGUCAUUAUAAUUCUUUUUCUUUAGAAAAGCAUCAUGUGUAAAUACAUAUUAUUUGACAAUAGGAUCUGUGUUAAAUAUUUGUUUUCUUUUUAUGGGAUAGGUUGUGGUUGGUGACAUGGCAUUUGGGACUCUUUAUAUGCCUAACUUUUGGGCAAAUUGGGUUCAAAGGAAGGACCGAAGAUUAUUUCGAGAAGUAGAGUGACUCCGUAUGUUUGUAAAUUUCCGUUUCAAGUCC
rnacentral:lncRNA from 1 species